ensembl:snRNA U6 U6 spliceosomal RNA
GUGCUCCCUUCGGCAGCACACGUACUAAAAUUGGAGCAAUACAGAGAAGAUUAGCAUGGCCCCUGUGCAAGGAUGACAUGCAAAUUCGUGUUCCAUAUUUUU